rnacentral:rRNA from 1 species
AUUGAACGCUGGCGGCAGGCUUAACACAUGCAAGUCGAGCGGGGGAAGGUAGCUUGCUACCGGACCUAGCGGCGGACGGGUGAGUAAUGCUUAGGAAUCUGCCUAUAGUGGGGGACAACAUCUCGAAAGGGAUGCUAAUACCGCAUACGUCCUACGGGAGAAAGCAGGGGAUCUUCGGACCUUGCGCUAAUAGAUGAGCCUAAGUCGGAUUAGCUAGUUGGUGGGGUAAAGGCCUACCAAGGCGACGAUCUGUAGCGGGUCUGAGAGGAUGAUCCGCCACACUGGGACUAAGACACGGCCCAGACUCCUACGGGAGGCAGCAGUGGGGAAUAUUGGACAAUGGGGGGAACCCUGAUCCAGCCAUGCCGCGUGUGUGAAGAAGGCCUUAUGGUUGUAAAGCACUUUAAGCGAGGAGGAGGCUACUUUAGUUAAUACCUAGAGAUAGUGGACGUUACUCGCAGAAUAAGCACCGGCUAACUCUGUGCCAGCAGCCGCGGUAA